ACACCAUGGAAGCUGGCCACGCCCGAAGUCGUUACCCUAACCCGUGAGGGAGGGGGAUGCCGAAGGCAGGGCUGGUGACUGGGGUGAAGUCGUAACAAGGUAGCCGUACCGGAAGGUGUGGCUGGAUCACCUCCUUU
rnacentral:rRNA from 1 species